rnacentral:rRNA from 1 species
AUUGAACGCUGGCGGAAUGCUUUACGCAUGCAAGUCGAACGGCAGCACGGACUUCGGUCUGGUGGCGAGUGGCGGACGGGUGAGUAAUGUGUCGGAACGUGCCCAGUCGUGGGGGAUAACGUAGUGAAAAUUACGCUAAUACCGCAUACGAUCUAUGGAUGAAAGCGGGGGAUCGCAAGACCACGCGCGAUUGGAGCGGCCGAUAUCAGAUUAGGUAGUUGGUGGGGUAAAGGCCCACCAAGCCAACGAUCUGUAGCUGGUCUGAGAGGACGACCAGCCACACUGGAACUGAGACACGGUCCAGACUCCUACGGGAGGCAGCAGUGGGGAAUUUUGGACAAUGGGCGAAAGCCUGAUCCAGCCAUUCCGCGUGCAGGAUGAAGGCCCUCGGGUUGUAAACUGCUUUUGUACAGAACGAAAAGGUUUCUACUAAUACUAGGAGCUCAUGACGGUACUGUAAGAAUAAGCACCGGCUAACUACGUGCCAGCCGCCGCCGUAA